rnacentral:rRNA from 1 species
GACGAACGCUGGCGGCGUGCUUAACACAUGCAAGUCGAACGGUGAAGCGCCUUCCUUUUUGGUGGGUGUGGAUGAGUGGCGAACGGGUGAGUAACACGUGAGUAACCUGCCCCCUUCUUCUGGAUAACCGCAUGAAAGUGUGGCUAAUACGGGAUAUUCUGGGUCUGUCGCAUGAUGGGUCUGGGAAAGAUAUUGUUUCGGUGGGGGAUGGGCUCGCGGCCUAUCAGCUUGUUGGUGGGGUGAUGGCCUACCAAGGCGGUGACGGGUAGCCGGCCUGGGAGGGUGGACGGUCACACUGGGACUGAGACACGGCCCAGACUCCGACGGGAGGCAGCAGUGGGGAAUAUUGCACAAUGGGCGCAAGCCUGAUGCAGCGACGCCGCGUGAGGGAUGGAGGCCUUCGGGUUGUGAACCUCUUUCGCCAGUGAAGCAGGCCUGCCUCGUUUGUGGGUGGGUUGACGGUAGCUGGAUAAGAAGCGCCGGCUAACUACGUG